UCCUCGCGUCCGCCACCCUAGAAAGAUCACGGGAGCCCUCGGUGUGGUGUCCGCGCAGAAGUUAGGGGGGCACCACGGAUUGUGGUGUAGCGUCUUCACAUCGGCGAGGACGCAUACCCUAGGAGCAUCGCAAGAUCACACCAAGCGUACCCGUGGAGGUGGUGGGCUCUGACGGUAGGGGUAGAAGAGUGGAUUGCUCGCCGGAGUUCAACGAGAGCCUCCGUCCGCCCCACGCCCGGUUCUGCGCGCACGUCAUCACGAUUUUCGGUACGAACCCCUUUCAUAGUUUAGAAUUGAUCCUCGCUUUGUUUAGAUGGGUCCUGCGUAGAGAAUCAAGAACCGUAUCAAUGUCAGGGCUGUCGCCGGUGAUGUUCCGCCAUAUGGGGACGGUGGCGCCGCCAUUCAAAACGAAACGGGUGAGGAAAAAUGGCGUAUGCCGUUGAUGAGCAAGCGAAUGGCUGGGAUUAUCCGGCGCGUACCCGUUCGGCGGUGUCAAUCCGGACCGUCCAUCUCUGAUCGAGCGCAUGUGAUUCACCGUGGGCAACGUAAGAUCCGGACGGUUGAACUAAGAUCCUAGGGCCAAAUAUGCGUACCAGUUCACUUAAUGCGACAUCUAAUCAUGGCCCUCAGAAUGAGAUCCAAUGGCUAGAAUCCAUCCAUACUCUCGGUCGCGACAGAUUUACAUCUGAGGCCCUCAGGAUUCGCUAAAUAGAACCCGCAAUCCACCCAGGUGUUGUCUGAGUCUUGGAAAACUUUGCAAGUUAACCCUUGUGCUAUUUGGUAUUUAAUGUGCAGUCCAACAGCCAGGGAAUUAAGAAAAAACAAUAUUAGAAGUUGAUUUUAAUACAAAAAUGAAUCCAGAAAAUUGUAUAAUUCAUAUUUAAUUCAUUUGAAGUCCAAAUUAAUCCAUUCUAGUUUCUAUAAUUUUGUAAUAUUAUUGUUUAUCAGAUAGUGUCUCUGUUUUGACAUGAAAAUCAUAUUAAAUGUAUCUCUUAAUUAAUCUUGUAUAAAAACAUAAAACCUUAAGAAAAUCAUAACCCCUUCGUUUUAAUUCUGAAUUGACUCGUUCCAGUUGCGUUAUCUUUGUAAUAAAAUUUCCUACUCAGAAACAACACUAUUUGUGUCAUAUCCAAUACUUUUAUAAUUAGAUCUUUAUUUAACUUAUGUUGGUUAGUCUUGUUAAUCUGGUUAACAUUAUAAUCUACUAAAAUAUGAUCUAUGGUCAAUUUAUAAUUUAGAUUAAAGUUGAAUUAAUUACUACUGUAGGUUAUCUUUUCUCUGGAAUUAUAAAAUAAACAUAGAACCUAGUUUUAAUCAUUUAAUCCCAUCAUAACUUGAUGACCGUAACUCCGAAUUUAGUGAUUCUCAUCCCAACGAUCUCCUAGCAAUGCGUAUAUUAUUAUUAUGCAGUAUGUUCUUAUGUCUUGUGAGAUGUUAAUUUUGUCUAUACCAUGUUUGUUUGUAUUGCUACGACUAGCAGUGAGGACACGAGGAUCUAAGGAUCAUCCUGGUACCUGGAAUCUCAAGUCCCAGGCAAGUUGUGCCCUUGAUCACUUUUGCUUACCCAAUAAUGUUCUUUAUAAUCAUUUAUUCAUGCAUAGGUUUAAUUUUGAUGGGACCCAAUAGAUCACCCUAGUCUGAUUAUCUAUUUUACCUUGUUUAUCCCUGAAUCAUUUGGGUAGUUAUGCUAUUGCUUUACAUGGUUUUAGGUUAAUAUUUCAUUAUAUCCAUGUUCCAAUUAUUUUGUUAUUUUAUUUAUGUUCAUGUCAAGAUCAUUAUCUUUAAUUGGAACAUGGAGCUUAACUUGAGAAACACGUGCCACCACAAGGGUGGAAUGGGACGCCCUUGGCUGACUAAUUAGGAAAGCUAGUGGAAGACUACCUUACCCAAAAGGGGCACGGGCAGUAGGGGAGUUGCAUGCAGGGAGGUUCUCGGGUUAAUUUUGCUGCGAUGGCGGUCAGACGAGGGAUUCUUGCAAGUGCUCUUCCCAUAAACUGUAGCGGGUUUUUGGAAGCUAGUGGAACUUUGUAAAGGCCUCGUAGUGGAUCCCUAGCCAUUCACCUUGGUAGUGUCUAAGGGUCUAGCUAACCCUGGCGAUAUGGGAUACACGACUUGUGGGUAUAGGGUACAACCUCUAUAGAGUGUAAAACUGGUAUACUAGCUGAGCUCACGGUCAAGAACAGCUCAGGACUCUCGCAUGAUUAAAUUAUGGAACUAAAUUCAUUUUGUCGUUUGCAUUGCAUGGGAUUUGUUAUUAAUUUUGUUCUAUUAUUAUUAUGGUUUGGUAUUUACUUACAUCUAGUAAUUGCUAAUAAAAUUUUGACCAACUUUAAAAGCAAUGCUCAGCUUUAACCACUCUCUUGGGUAAGCCUUACACUUCACUUGAGCUCCCACCUUUGGCGAGUUCAUGCACAUUAUUCCCCACAACUUGUUGAGCAAUGAACGUGUGUGAGCUCACCCUUGCUGUCUCACCCCCCCCCACAGGAGAAGUACAUGUGCUUCAAGAGGAGCCACACAACGAGGAGUUCGACUUGAUCUAGGUGGCGUCUCCCAGUUGACUUUAUGGCACCAAGGAUGGACUUUAGUUUGUUUUAUAUUUAUCUUUUAUUUUGUAAGACUUCCUCUAUGUAACAAGUAUUCUGAUUAUAUUGUGACAUUCAUCCCUAAACACUCUGUUCUUAUAUGUGUUGUCUUCUUUGGCGCAUAUAUGAGAUGCACCUGGCUUUGUCCCUUAAAUCCGGGUGUGACAGCGGCGAGAUUUCUCAUCGACGUUCACCACUGCCGCAGAUCCGCCUCGCGGCGUGGUCAGCACUGCUGUCGCCUCCAACCGUCG
rnacentral:lncRNA from 1 species